rnacentral:lncRNA from 1 species
UAGUUGUUAAUCCCUUGAAGAAGGGCAUCCUCCUGAUCACCUGCAAAUAAGUGGUGGAAUGAGAAGCUUAGUGUUAAGAUAUCAGCCGGGAAGAAAAUCUUAACUUGGGCAAAUUAACAUGGAGCAAUAGACUCAUGGGACUGUACUGAAAAGAAAGCCCAGACCACUUGGGAUCUGGGAUCAUUUCCAGCUUCGUGCGCAUUCUAAACAAGCAGCAAAAACUAGUUUUUGAUAGCAAGAGGACAACAAGUUUUAAAACCAUUUUCUUGACCUGAAGAACAAGUAUCAGCAAAUUGCAUAAAAAAGAUUUUAACAGAAAAACAGAUUAAUGGGAGAGAAAAAAUUAAGCAAAGACUUGACGAGCUUGCCAAUGCAAAUCAUGAAAGCAAACUAUAAUACUAGUUGGAUUACAGCUAUUUCUUAGUUAACUGGGUCAUAACAAGCAAUCUUGCAAAGGCAAAUUCACUGCAUAAUGUAACAGCCCGUUUGGAGACAUCAGAUUUGAGUAGAAAUGAAAUCAAUUCAAGACCAUUUACCAAUUCCAGCGUUUUGGAAAGUUGUAAGCAAUACAGAUGAAUUAAAAGUAUCCAGAUUAAUUGUAAUGCACAUAUAUAUUAUAGAAUUGGAUCUACAAGACUACAGCUAAAACGACAGAUUCAAACAAACAUAAGAAUCAGUAAUCAGAUCUCACAUGAUAAAUUAGAUAAUGUAAAAAGAAAUAAAAGAAAGCAGAUAAUUACCAAGUAAUCCCAAAAAUAAAGAAAAGAAAAAUGGUUACCGUCACAAAUGACAGGGUGACUGAUCAAGCAGAGAAUAAUGAAGAAAACAAAGAAUGGGAAGAGAAGAGAAAAUCUUGAAGAAGCCAUUGCUGCUGCUGCUAAUUGAAGCUACUGUUGUUUUUCAAAGGAGAAAGGCGUCGGUGAUGAAUGUAUAUAGGAGAA